rnacentral:rRNA from 1 species
CCUACGGGUGGCAGCAGUGGGGAAUAUUGCGCAAUGGGCGAAAGCCUGACGCAGCGACGCCGCGUGAGGGAUGAAGGUCUUCGGAUCGUAAACCUCUGUCAGCAGGGAAGAACGGUCACUGUGCUAAUCAGCAGUGAAUUGACGGUACCUGCAAAGGAAGCACCGGCUAACUCCGUGCCAGCAGCCGCGGUAAUACGGAGGGUGCGAGCGUUAAUCGGAAUUACUGGGCGUAAAGCGCUCGUAGGCGGUAUGUCAAGUCAAGGGGGAAAUCCCCGCGCUCAACGUGGGAACUGCCUUUGAUACUGGCAAACUGGAGUGUGUGAGAGGAUAGUGGAAUUCCAGGUGUAGGAGUGAAAUCCGUAGAGAUCUGGAGGAACAUCAGUGGCGAAGGCGACUAUCUGGCACAUAACUGACGCUGAGGAGCGAAAGCGUGGGUAGCAAACAGGAUUAGAUACCCCGGUAGUC